UCAGAAAAGAAACCAUUCAAUGCCUUGUCUGAGCAGUCCAAAGCAAGCGCCGCCACCGCUACAGAGCCACCUUCCCCUGCUCCGGCGCAUGGAGCAUCGUGCCACCGCGGUGGAGGCAACGCAUGCAACUCAGCGGGGCUCCGCGGGCGAGUCCCCACUCCCGCGCCGCGCCGUCCCUAGGGAUCCUCUUUCUGAGCUCCUGAGCUCCUCCAAGAACGGGCGGCGUCUGAACCCGGCGGACAGAACCCCUCCGCUGCCACCACCGUAGAGGCAGCGGCUGCAGCUCGACGGGGCUCCGCGGGCUGCACCUCAUCCGUCUCGACAGCAAGGGAGCCGAGCUCCGCGGGUGGCGAGGCCCCACUCCCACGCCACGCUGUCCCCAAGGAUCCACCUUUCGAACUCCUCCAAGAAUGGGCUGCAUCUGAACCCGGCAACCGAAACCCCUCCACCGCCACCGUCGCGAAGGCAGCAGCAGCGGCUCCGCCGGACUCCGCAGGUCGCGCCGCCUCCAUCUCGAAAGCGAGGGAGCCAAGCUCCGCGGGCGGCAAGCCCCCACUCCCGCGCCGCGCCUUCCCUGCCUCGACUGACGAUAUCCCUACCUCGACCGAUGAGAUGUUGGUGAAGAACAAGACUGAGAUAGACCACAAAGUCAUGCCGGAGGGAAUGACAAAGCAGGUGGGUAGGAAAGGAAGGAGAUUAAAUUCUAGAUGGACCUCUCUUAUUGUCAUCCUGCUAUUGAUCAUUACAGCUUUCCGGAGAUUUGAGAGCUUAGAUAUGGGAGAGCAAUUGUCUACAAGGGAACUCAAACAUUUAUUCUCUAUAACUUGGUACAAUACAAGACUCUUAUACUCUUAUGUCACUACCCUAUUAUAACACAACUAUGCUACAUGGCUGCCAUAUCAUCUCCUAUUUAAAACCUCUUAUGCCAUGAUAUAGCAAAAGAAGAGGGGAGCACCCCUAUAUAUGACUCCAUGGCUUAUGUGGUAUUACCAUGUGUCCAUCUUCUACACUCUUCUUGAUCUCUAGAACUAUCACUCAUGCUUAUAUAAUUUUUAAUAUUUCUGUCAUGGUAAAAUAUUCUAGAGAAUUCUUAACUUGCAUGUAGUAUGAAAACUUCUCUCUUGUCAUUUCCAAUUUUUUCUAAAACCUUCUCAAGUAUGAAUUGAUAUCAUUCAACACUCCCCUCAAUGCAUACUUAUCUCUGGUGGCGCGUCCCCUUAAAUCUUUUGCUCUCUGUCAUUCCGAACCUUCUUUUCCGUUGUCGUUGUGAUGCGAUCUGAUUUUCCUUCGGCUCAUACUCCUUAGCCUUCAUUUGCAGCUUUCCAGCAGGUAGCAGACUUGAUGCAACCAUGCACCUCUUAUUUCUUCUUUUAGGUGUCGUGUCACACCCUAAAAUUUCUAUUUUGGAUUGCGAAUAAAUGAUAUUAAAUAAAAUAAUUGUUUGUAUUAUUUUUCCAAAAUUAAUCCAACCUUUAAUUAGUUUGUUAUCAAUUUAGAUAGAAAAAUUAAAUUUGUUUUCUAAAAUUUUAAAUCGAUCUGUUACGGGAUGUUGCAUUCAUGCUGACUGCACAAUAUUUUUUAUGAAAAACAAAUUUAAUAUUUUUAAAAAAUACGUUUAGAUUUUUGUUCCAUCCAAAUCCAGCUCUCAAUCUCUUAAUCAAUUCAUAAACCUCUCUUAUCCUGGUUCUUCUUUUAAUUUAGAGACAAUCCAGCCUUUUCUUUUCUCCUUUUUCCAUUCUUAUCUUCCUAGCCAACCCAAUGUUGGCCUCUCAGCUCCCUCCCCGCAAGUAUAAAAGGCUAGUACAUGGAACCUUUCAGUCAUGCCUCACCCAUCUCAAACUCAAUCUCACCUAUACACAUUUUGCUUGUUCCAAAAACUCUCUCUUAGCGCUUUGUCUCGAUCCUAGGAUGGUAAAGAAAUCCACGUCCGAUAGCACUCGACCUCGUUGUCUCUCAUUCUCCAGUACUUGAGCCGCUGUGCCGCCACCCUACAUGAUGCCUAAACUUGUCCGUUUGCGAUGGAUGCUUAUCGAGAUGAAAAGAUGAACAAUACGAGGAGCACGAGUUCGGAUCAACUCCAAACUAACGG